rnacentral:siRNA from 1 species
AUUGUCACUACCUCCCCGUGUCA